rnacentral:rRNA from 1 species
UACGGAGGGGGCUAGCGUUGUUCGGAAUUACUGGGCGUAAAGGGUGCGUAGGCGGCUAUCCAAGUCAGACGUGAAAGGCCUGGGCUCAACCCGGGAACUGCGUUUGAGACUGGGUGGCUGGAGUCCGGGAGAGGUGAGCGGAAUUCUCAGUGUAGCGGUGAAAUGCGCAGAUAUCGGGAAGAACACCUAUGGCGAAGGCAGCUCUCUGGGACGGUACUGACGCUGAGACGCGAAAGCGUGGGGAGCGAACAGG